CCUACGGGAGGCUGCAGUGGGGAAUAUUGGACAAUGGGGGGAACCCUGAUCCAGCCAUGCCGCGUGUGUGAAGAAGGCCCUCGGGUCGUAAAGCACUUUCAGUGAGGAAGAACGCCUGGUGGUUAAUACCCAUCUGGAAAGACAUCACUCACAGAAGAAGCACCGGCUAACUCCGUGCCAGCAGCCGCGGUAAUACGGAGGGUGCGAGCGUUAAUCGGAAUUACUGGGCGUAAAGCGCGCGUAGGUGGCUUGAUAAGCCGGUUGUGAAAGCCCCGGGCUCAACCUGGGAACGGCAUCCGGAACUGUCAAGCUAGAGUGCAGGAGAGGAAGGUAGAAUUCCCGGUGUAGCGGUGAAAUGCGUAGAGAUCGGGAGGAAUACCAGUGGCGAAGGCGGCCUUCUGGACUGACACUGACACUGAGGUGCGAAAGCGUGGGUAGCAAACAGGAUUAGAUACCCGAGUAGUC
rnacentral:rRNA from 1 species